GUGUGUCAUCUUCUAGCGCCGGCACUGAUUAUUAUGGCAACCGAGUAUGUACGCGCAGGAAACGUGGUCGGCAAAUGUUUGCUGAUUCCGGUGACCCGGUUGUCGAAAAGUGCAUUCGGCUAUCUUCAAACAAUUACCGCAGUAAACUGUGUCGCCAAAACAGUUUGUUCACAUAACUUUAUAGUAACCAUCGGGUUGCUCA